rnacentral:rRNA from 1 species
GUGCCAGCAGCCGCGGUAAUACGAAGGGGGCUAGCGUUGCUCGGAUUUACUGGGCGUAAAGGGCGCGUAGGCGGACGAUUUAGUCAGAGGUGAAAGCCCGGGGCUCAACCCCGGAAUUGCCUUUGAUACUGGUCGUCUUGAGUUUGGGAGAGGUAUGCGGAACUCCGAGUGUAGAGGUGAAAUUCGUAGAUAUUCGGAAGAACACCAGUGGCGAAGGCGGCAUACUGGCCCAAUACUGACGCUGAGGCGCGAAAGCGUGGGGAGCAAACAGGAUUAGAAACCCUCGUAGUCC